CGCGCUGAAGCUGGCGCCGCUGCUGCGACGCAGCCUUGUGGCCGUCUACGGAGACGCCUCGGCUCACUCCUCCGCCUUCCUGCGCUCCCAGCGCAGCUACUCCCGACGGCAGCGGCGCAGAGUGUGGCUGCCGCCGCCCCGCGCCAACCAAUCAGGAAGCAGAGCCGUACUCCGGGCACGCCUCCCCUAUGACGUCACGCAGCCGCCCAGGAAGCCCCGCCCGGUGGCCUUACCUGGGAAAGGUCUUGGGAGAGGGCAGUGGUUGUGGGCUCUCGAAGGGUGAAAAUAACCGCCAUGUGAAUCGCACGCAUUAUACCUGCCCUGAGAAAUACAGUCAGGGUAAACAGUUUCCUAAUUUUAAAAUGUGCUUAUUCCCUGAAUCGCUCUUCAACCACCCAUCCAUCCGUCUGUCCAUCCAUCUGGACCAUCCACUCAACCAUAGCUACUGGGCACCUCCUGGGUGCCAGGAGCUGAGCUGGGUGCUGGUGAUAAAUAACGAGGAACCUUGUGCUUGUGUUCACGGAGCUCGGAGGCUAGUGAAGAAGUCUGACAGUAACAAAUGCUUAUACCAAUCAUGCUUUUAUUACAAUCGUGAUCCAUUCUAGGAACAUAAGUGUUCUCAGCAGCUGGCACAGUGCCUGAUACAGACUGAGUGCCCAGGAAAUGCCCGCAGAAUGAAAGCAAGGAGUUAUCCUGCACAGACCCAUGGGAUCUUGUGGAGGAAACUGAGUUGCAGGACGUGACGGAACUCGUGUUAGGUCUGUAGGACUCCAGAGGGAAUUCCUAGCUACUAUGCUCCACUGCCUUAUGUGAAAACCCAGCCUCAUCUAUGCUGGAAAAUGCUGAGUAAAAGGCAGAAGUCCGCUGUCUACCCGUCUGUGGACGGCCCCAGCCGAGGCGGGACUCUGCAGAGGUCCUAUGGU